rnacentral:rRNA from 1 species
CCCUUAGAUGUUCUGGGCCGCACGCGCGCUACACUGAUGCAUUCAACGAGCCUAUCCUUGACCGACAGGUCCGGGUAAUCUUUGAAUCUGCAUCGUGACGGGGAUAGAUUAUUGCAAUUAUUAAUCUUCAACGAGGAAUGCCUAGUAGGCGCAAGUCAUCAGCUUGCGUCGAUUACGUCCCUGCCCUUUGUACACACCGCCCGUCGCUCCUACCGAUUGAAGUUUUCGGUGAGUUGACAGGAGGAUUUUUUUGAAACUGGUUCGCCAGUGGAUUUUAGAUCCAAAUGCCAACGAAUCGAUGGCUUUAGAGGAAGGAGAAGUCGUAACA